GGAAUAUUGGACAAUGGGCGCAAGCCUGAUCCAGCCAUGCCGCGUGAGUGAAGAAGGCCUUAGGGUUGUAAAGCUCUUUCAGCGGGGAAGAUAAUGACGGUACCCGCAGAAGAAGCCCCGGCUAACUUCGUGCCAGCAGCCGCGGUAAUACGAAGGGGGAUAGAGUUGUUCGGAAUUACUGGGCGUAAAGCGCACGUAGGCGGAUCGUUAAGUGAGGGGUGAAAUCCCAGGGCUCAACCCUGGAACUGCCUUUCAUACUGGCGAUCUUGAGUUCGAGAGAGGUGAGUGGAAUUCCGAGUGUAGAGGUGAAAUUCGUAGAUAUUCGGAGGAACACCAGUGGCGAAGGCGGCUCACUGGCUCGAUACUGACGCUGAGGUGCGAAAGCGUGGGGAGCAAAC
rnacentral:rRNA from 1 species